GAGCAUCAUGACGAGCAUGCAGGUGUCAACAAAGUAAAACCCUGAGUCUUAAAAAGUCGUCGUUUAAAGCAGUAGGAUAUUAAGAUAGCGUAACUGGCUCCCAUAUGCAGCAUUGAGCUCCCACACCGUGCCGUCUGUUCCAUCCUUGUCCAGUCUGCUGGGUUCAGAGCCCAUCGCCUGCAGAGGGGGAAGAAUUAAAGCACCAGGAUGAGAGGAGGACAGGACAGGAGAGGAA